rnacentral:rRNA from 1 species
AUUGAACGCUGGCGGCAGGCCUAACACAUGCAAGUCGAACGAGUGGCGGACGGGUUAGUAAUGUCUGGGAAACUGCCCGAUGGAGGGGGAUAACUACUGGAAACGGUAGCUAAUACCGCAUACCAUCGGAUGUGCCCAGAUGGGAUUAGCUAGUAGGUGGGGUAACGGCUCACCUCGACGACGAUCGCUAGCUGGUCUGAGAGGACGACCAGCAACACUGGAACUGGGACACGGUCCGGACUCCUACGGGAGGCAGCAGUGGGGAAAAUUGGACAAUGGGCGCAAGCCUGAUGAAGCCAUGCCGCGUGUAUGAAGAAGGCCUUCGGGUUGUAAAGUACUUUCAGCGAGGAGGCGUUACUCGCAGAGGAAGCACCGGCUAACUCCGUGCCAGCAGCCGCGGUAAUAC